rnacentral:rRNA from 1 species
CGAGUCGCAAACUCGCGAGAGUAAGCUAAUCUCUUAAGCCGUUCUCAGUUCGGACUGUAGGCUGCAACUCGCCUACACGAAGUCGGAAUCGCUAGUAAUCGCGGAUCAGCAUGCCGCGGUGAAUACGUUCCCGGGCCUUGUACACACCGCCCGUCACACCAUGGGAGUUUGUAACGCCCAAAGUCGGUGGCCUAACCUUUAUGGAGGGAGCCGCCUAAGGCGGGACAGAUGACUGGGGUGAAGUCGUAACAAGGUAUC